GACAGAGGGGGCAAGCGUUGCUCGGAAUUACUGGGCGUAAAGGGCGCGUAGGCGGGAUGGCCAGUCGGUCGUGAAAUCCCUCGGCUCAACCGAGGAACGUCGAUCGAUACUGCUGUUCUUGAGGAUUGCAGAGGAGACUGGAAUUCCCGGUGUAGCGGUGAAAUGUGUAGAGAUCGGGAGGAACACCGGUGGCGAAGGCGGGUCUCUGGGCAAUUCCUGACGCUGAGGCGCGAAAGCGUGGGGAGCAAACAGG
rnacentral:rRNA from 1 species